rnacentral:rRNA from 1 species
UACGUAGGGGGCAAGCGUUGUCCGGAACCAUUGGGCGUAAAGAGCGUGUAGGCGGCCAGAUAAGUCCGCUGUGAAAUCUCGAGGCUCAACUUCGAGCUGUCGGUGGAAACUGUCUGGCUAGAGUCCGGAAGAGGAGAAUGGAAUUCCUGGUGUAGCGGUGAAAUGCGCAGAUAUCAGGAAGAACACCGGUGGCGAAGGCGGGUCUCUGGGCCGUAACUGACGCUGAGGAGCGAAAGCGUGGGGAGCGAACAGG